rnacentral:misc_RNA from 1 species
GCCCAUCCACGCUCGGUUGCCUAUCGGCAAAGAUGCGGACAUUGGCCCUCCGAACCGCGAGGUGCGGUGGGCCUAAGUGUGCGGCCGUCGUAUGUGGCCGGGAGCGGCGAGUGGUGGGCUACUGCGCACGUCACCCCGAGCCCCGUACCGACACAGGACCUUUUUUGACCCCAAACGAGGAGCUUGCCGUCGCGGCUUGCGCUGCGCGGCGCCUUCGGACC